rnacentral:lncRNA from 1 species
AAAGGGGGCUUUAAUUGGAUCUAGAGGCAUCCAUGAACCACUUGGAAUAAGCAUGCCAAGCCACUCCUUGAGCACAAGGAGCAUCUCCACAAAUUAUGGUAUAUGAAGAUUUCUCCAUUGAUGGAGCUUGUAUCCAAGCAAGCUCUAUACGAUGUCGAUGUUAGCUCAAUUAGUCCACGGGGUAUGGCUGACCUCUCAAACUAAGGCUUUUUGCUU